rnacentral:rRNA from 1 species
GGACUCAUCCGAGGCCCCGUAAUCGGAAUGAGUACACUUUAAAUCCUUUCAUGAGGAUCCAUUGGAGGGCAAGCCUGGUGCCAGCAGCCGCGGUAAUUCCAGCUCCAAUAGCGUAUAUUAAAGUUGUUGCGGUUAAAAAGCUCGUAGUUGGUUCUGUGUGCCAUGCUGUUGGUUCACCGCCUGUCGGUGCAACUAACAUGUCAUGGAACGUCUUGUCGGUGGUAAUUAAAGACUUAUUUUUCAAUAAAGGUUUACCUAUUAUUGAAUGUAAGUUCCUUUAAUUACCGAUUAGUUCCUACCACGGUGCUCUUCAUUGAGUGUCGAGGUCGGCCGACAAGUUUACUUUGAACAAAUUAGAGUGCUUAAAGCAGGCAAAAGUCUGCCUUGAAUAGUGGUGCAUGGAAUAAUAGAAUAGGAUCUUGGUUCUAUUUUGCUGGUUUUCUGAAUCCAAGGUAAUGAUCAAUAUGGACAGGCGGGGGCAUUCGUAUUGCGACGUUAGAGGUGAAAUUCUUGGAUCGUCGCAAGACGAACUAGAGCGAAAGCAUUUGCCAAGUAUGUCUUAAUUGAUCAAGAACGAAAGUUAGAGGUUCGAAGGCGAUCAGAUACCGCCCUAGUUCUAACCAUAAACGAUGCCAGCUAGCGAUCCGCCGAUGUUUUUCUCAUGACUCGACGGGCAGCUCCCCGGGAAACCAAAGUUUUUGGGUUCCGGGGGAAGUAUGGUUGCAAAGCUGAAACUUAAAGGAAUUGACGGAAGGGCACCACCAGGAGUGGAGCUUGCGGUUUAAUUUGACUCAACACGGGAAACCUCACUAGGCCCAGACAUUGGAAGGAUUGACAGAUUGAUAGCUCUUUCUUAAUUCAG